UACGAGGGGUGCAAGCGUUGCUCGGAAUUAUUGGGCGUAAAGGGUAGGUAGGUGGUCUCAUUUGUCUGGGGUGAAAGCCUUGAGCUUAACUCAAGAAGUGCCCCGGAAACGGUGAGACUGGAGUCCCGGAGAGGGUCGUGGAAUUCCCGGUGUAGCGGUGAAAUGCGUAGAGAUCGGGAGGAACACCAGAGGCGAAGGCGGCGACCUGGACGGGCACUGACACUCAACUACGAAAGCGUGGGGAGUAAACAGG
rnacentral:rRNA from 1 species